UAUAUACUCCCUCCGUCCGGAAAAUACUUGUCGAAUGAAUAGAUGUAUCUAGACAUAUUUUAGUUUUAGAUACAUUCAUUUUUAACCAUUUCUCCGACGAGUAUUUCCGGAUGGAGGGAGUAUACA
rfam:Triticum urartu cultivar G1812 contig636251, whole genome shotgun sequence.